GACGAACGCUGGCGGCGUGCCUAAUACAUGCAAGUUGAGCGCUGAAGGUUGGUACUUGUACCAACUGGAUUAGCAGCGAACGGGUGAGUAACGCGUGGGGAAUCUGCCUUUGAGCGGGGGACAACAUUUGGAAACGAAUGCUAAUACCGCAUAAAAACUUUAAACACAAGUUUUAAGUUUGAAAGAUGCAAUUGCAUCACUCAAAGAUUAUCCCGCGUUGUAUUAGCUAGUUGGUGAGGUAAAGGCUCACCAAGGCGAUGAUACAUAGCCGACCUGAGAGGGUGGUCGGCCACAUUGGGACUGAGACACGGCCCAAACUCCUAAGGGGGGCAGCAGUAGGGAAUCUUCGGCAAUGGACGAAAGUCUGACCGAGCAACGCCGCGUGAGUGAAGAAGGGUUUCGGAUCGUAAAACUCUGUUGGUAGAGAAGAACGUUGGUGAGAGUGGAAAGCUCAUCAAGUGACGGUAACUACCCAGAAAGGGACGGCUAACUACGUG
rnacentral:rRNA from 1 species